rnacentral:SRP_RNA from 1 species
GCUGGGUGUGGUGGCGCAUGCCUGUAAUCCCAGCUACUUGGGAGGCUGAGGCAGGAGAAUCGCUUGAACCCAGGAGGUGGAGGUUGCAGUGAGCCAAGAUCACGCCACUGCAAGCAUCGAGUGACAGAGACUCUCUCUCUCAAAAAAAAAAAAAGGGGGCAUCAGAAGGAAAAAUGCAUUAUUAGCUCCUUUUUUUUUUUUUUUUUUUUUUGAGACAGAGUCUCGCUGUAUUGCCUAGGCUGGAGUGCAGUGGUGUGAUCUCAACUUACUGCAACCUCUGCCUCCUGGGUUCAAGCGAUUCUCCUGCCUCAG